rnacentral:rRNA from 1 species
UACGUAGGGAGCAAGCGUUAUCCGGAUUUACUGGGUGUAAAGGGCGAGUAGGCGGGCCGACAAGUUGGGAGUGAAAUCCGGGGGCUUAACCCCCGAACUGCUUUCAAAACUGUUGGUCUUGAGUGAUGGAGAGGCAGGCGGAAUUCCCAGUGUAGCGGUGAAAUGCGUAGAUAUUGGGAGGAACACCAGUGGCGAAGGCGGCCUGCUGGACAUUAACUGACGCUGAGGCGCGAAAGCGUGGGGAGCAAACAGG